AUUGAACGCUGGCGGCAGGCCUAACACAUGCAAGUCGAGCGGAUGAAGGGAGCUUGCUCCUGGAUUCAGCGGCGGACGGGUGAGUAAUGCCUUGGAAUCUGCCUGGUAGUGGGGGAUAACGUCCGGAAACGGGCGCUAAUACCGCAUACGUCCUGAGGGAGAAAGUGGGGGAUCUUCGGACCUCACGCUAUCAGAUGAGCCUAGGUCGGAUUAGCUAGUUGGUGGGGUAAAGGCCUACCAAGGCGACGAUCCGUAACUGGUCUGAGGGGAUGAUCAGUCACACUGGAACUGAGACACGGUCCAGACUCCUACGGGAGGCAGCAGUGGGGAAUAUUGGACAAUGGGCGAAAGCCUGAUCCAGCCAUGCCGCGUGUGUGAAGAAGGUCUUCGGAUUGUAAAGCACUUUAAGUUGGGAGGAAGGGCAGUAAGUUAAUACCUUGCUGUUUUGACGUUACCAACAGAAUAAGCACCGGCUAACUUCGUG
rnacentral:rRNA from 1 species